AGAGUUUGAUCCUGGCUCAGAUUGAACGCUGGCGGCAUGCCUUACACAUGCAAGUCGAACGGUAACAGGUCUUCGGAUGCUGACGAGUGGCGAACGGGUGAGUAAUACAUCGGAACGUGCCCGAGAGUGGGGGAUAACGAAGCGAAAGCUUUGCUAAUACCGCAUACGAUCUCAGGAUGAAAGCAGGGGACCGCAAGGCCUUGCGCUCACGGAGCGGCCGAUGGCAGAUUAGGUAGUUGGUGGGAUAAAAGCUUACCAAGCCGACGAUCUGUAGCUGGUCUGAGAGGACGACCAGCCACACUGGGACUGAGACACGGCCCAGACUCCUACGGGAGGCAGCAGUGGGGAAUUUUGGACAAUGGGCGCAAGCCUGAUCCAGCCAUGCCGCGUGCAGGAUGAAGGCCUUCGGGUUGUAAACUGCUUUUGUACGGAACGAAAAGACUUUGGUUAAUACCUGGGGUCCAUGACGGUAUCGUAAGAAUAAGCACCGGCUAACUACGUGCCAGCAGCCGCGGUAAUACGUAGGGUGCGAGCGUUAAUCGGAAUUACUGGGCGUAAAGCGUGCGCAGGCGGUUAUAUAAGACAGAUGUGAAAUCCCCGGGCUCAACCUGGGAACUGCAUUUGUGACUGUAUAGCUAGAGUACGGCAGAGGGGGAUGGAAUUCCGCGUGUAGCAGUGAAAUGCGUAGAUAUGCGGAGGAACACCGAUGGCGAAGGCAAUCCCCUGGGCCUGUACUGACACUCAUGCACGAAAGCGUGGGGAGCAAACAGGAUUAGAUACCCUGUAGUCCACGCCCUAAA
rnacentral:rRNA from 1 species